AUUGAACGCUGGCGGCAUGCUUUACACAUGCAAGUCGAACGGCAGCGCGGGCUUCGGCCUGGCGGCGAGUGGCGAACGGGGGAGUAAUACAUCGGAACGUGCCCAGUAGUGGGGGAUAGCUCGGCGAAAGCCGGAUUAAUACCGCAUACGACCUGAGGGUGAAAGCGGGGGAUCUUCGGACCUCGCGCUAUUGGAGCGGCCGAUGGCCGAUUAGCUAGUUGGUGGGGUAAAGGCCUACCAAGGCGACGAUCUGUAGCUGGUCUGAUAGGACGACCAGCCACACUGGGACUGAGACACGGCCCAGACUCCUACGGGAGGCAGCAGUGGGGAAUUUUGGACAAUGGGCGAAAGCCUGAUCCAGCAAUGCCGCGUGUGUGAUGAAGGCCUUCGGGUUGUAAAGCACUUUUGGCGGGAACGAAAAGGACUGUGCCAAUACCACGGUUGGAUGACGGUACCCGCAGAAUAAGCACCGGCUAACUACGUG
rnacentral:rRNA from 1 species